rnacentral:rRNA from 1 species
AGUGAACGCUGGCGGUAGGCCUAACACAUGCGAGUCGAACGGCCGCAAAGUAAGAGCUUGCUCUUACGGGUGGCGAGUGGCGGGCGUGUGAGGAAUACAUCGGAAUCUACUUUUUCGUGGGGGAUAACGUAGGGACACUUACGCUAAUACCACAUAAGACCUACGGGUGAAAGCAGGGGAUCUUCGGCCCUUGGCCGAUUGAAUGAGCCGAUGUCGGAUUAGCUAGUUGGCGGGGUAAAGGCCCACCAAGGCGACGACCCGUAGCUGGUCUGAGAGGGUGAACAGCCACACUGGAACUGAGACAGGGCCCAGACUCCUACGGGAGGCAGCAGUGGGGAAUAUUGGACAAGGGGGGAAAGCGGGAUCCAGCCAUACCGCGGGGGUGAAGAAGGACUGCGGGUUGUAAAGCGCUGUUGUUGGGAAAGAAAAGAAGCAGGUUAAUACACCGAUGUUCUGACGGUACCCAAAGAAUAAGCGCCGGCUAACUUCGUG